rnacentral:tRNA from 1 species
GGUGCUGUGACUCAAGUAGUAGAGCGCUUGCCUUGCAUGCAUGAAGCCCUGGGUUUCAUUCCUCAGCACCA